UACGUAGGGCGCAAGCGUUAUCCGGAAUUAUUGGGCGUAAAGAGCUCGUAGGCGGUUUGUCGCGUCUGCCGUGAAAGUCCGGGGCUCAACUCCGGAUCUGCGGUGGGUACGGGCAGACUAGAGUGAUGUAGGGGAGACUGGAAUUCCUGGUGUAGCGGUGAAAUGCGCAGAUAUCAGGAGGAACACCGAUGGAGAAGGGAGGUCUCUGGCAGUAACUGACGCUGAGGAGCGAAAGCAUGGGGAGCGAACAGG
rnacentral:rRNA from 1 species